AAUUCAGGACAGCUGUUGUAGUAGCAUUUUAUUGAUGCAUUCUUCAUCAUAGCAAAAUCCUGUCAUCUCCAGGUAAUUAUUAAAUGCGUAAAAGGUGAGGUAGACGUAGAAGAUGACCAGUUCACAGCUACCAUGGUAAAACACACACACACACACACACAUAACUGAGAUGCUGUCCCACAGCCUGGAACAUAUUCUAUUGGUCUCUUUUGCUGCACUGCUAUGUUACACACCAACGCCGAUUGUCAAGCUGUGGCAAGGGACAAACAGACACUCACAAGACUUUGGUUGGCCUUAGGCUAAGUGCCGCACAGAGGAACUGAACCUGAAACUAUGUGGUUGGGAAGCAAACUUCUUACCAAAAAAAAAAAAAAUUUUCAAUUUCCUUGAAAGAACAAUAAAUAUAAACAACAAUAAAAUAAGAGAUCAAACAAACUUUGUAAACUGGAGUAGAUAAAGACAGAGAAAAUUUUAUUACAGGUUAAUUUGUGAAUUACACAAAUAAAUGGUUUGUGUUCUUUGUGCUUACCAAACUGAA